rnacentral:misc_RNA from 1 species
GAAAUGCGAUAAGUAAUGUGAAUUGCAGAAUUCAGUGAAUCAUCGAAUCUUUGAACGCACCUUGCGCUCCUUGGUAUUCCUUGGAGCAUGCCUGUUUGAGUAUCAUGAAAUCUUCAAAGUAAAUCUUUUGUUAACUCAAUUGGUUUCUACUUUGGUAUUGGAGGUCUUUGCAGCUUCACACCUGCUCUCUUUGUUCAUUAGCUGGAUCUCAGUGUUAUGCUUGGUUCCACUCGGCGUGAUAAGUUAUCUAUCGCUGAGGACACUGUAAAAGGUGGCCAAGGUAAAUGCAGAUGAACCGCUUCUAAUAGUCCAUUGACUUGGACAAUACUUUUAUGAUCUGAUCUCAAAUCAGGUAGGACUACCCGCUGAACUUAAGC